GAAGUUGACUCGCCUGUGUGAAAGACCAACCAGAGAAUUCAAAUAUGUUUAUCAAAUCAAUUACCUUGGAUGACCAACUUCUACAUGACCUGCCUUCAGCUUCUCCAUGUCAGUCACCUACAAUCAGGGCAUACCUGAGGCCAUUUGAUUUUUUCUACCGUAAAUAUUUUCUACCUUCCUGCCUGCUUUCAAGUCUCUGAAAAAUUAUGCCUGGAGAAUACACCAAGAUGCCAUCGGUGUUAUAUUCUACCAUGGAACCUGGUUAUCAACUGGGAUGUGGUACACAUGCAGGCACCCUUUGACUUGUUCCUCACAGCUUGAUGAGUCUUGAUUUUCAUGAUAAGUCAGCACCAGAUCUAAACUUCACUCUGUUUGCAUGAAGUUCCUUGGCUACUUAUUCUUUUCUCACUGCUAUAAAGGAAUACCUGAGACUGGGUAAUAUAUAAAGAAAAGAAGUUUAAUUGACUCACAGUUCCACACUGCUGGGGAGGCCUCAGGAAACCCACAAUCACGGCAGAAGGCAAAGGCACAUCUUACAUUGCGGCAGAAGAGAGUGAAUGAGGAAGUGCCACACUUUAAAACCAUCAGCUUUCAUGAGAACUUACUCAUUAUCAUGAGAACAGCAUAGAGGGAACUGUCUCCAUGAUCCAAUCACUUCACACCAGGUCCCUCCCUCAACAUGUAGGGAUCACAAUUCCAGAUGAAAUUUGCGUGGGGGCACAACCAAACCUUAUCACCAGAGUUUUGUUAUUGGUUUCCAUUUGUUUAGCAUUGGUGGUGGAGGAAAGACAUUUCUUCUUGGCACUUUUUGCUCUGUUUCAUUCUUCCAUUUUGUUUUGUGCUAUGUAAAAGUGUUGCUUUCCAUACAAAGAUUAAUGAGGCAGAACUAAGGCAUUAGCAUUAUUAGCCUGUUGGCAUAGGCCUCACAAACCAUUGAGUUCUCUAUUCUCACCACACAGAUGUCCACUUGGAUAACUUUGCUGUUUGUCACCAAUAAAGCUGGA
rnacentral:lncRNA from 1 species